UACGAAGGGGGCUAGCGUUGUUCGGAAUCACUGGGCGUAAAGCGCUUGUAGGCGGAUCGUUAAGUCAGGGGUGAAAUCCCGAGGCUCAACCUCGGAACUGCCUCUGAUACUGGCGAUCUUUGAGUCCGGGAGAGGUGAGUGGAACUCCGAGUGUAGAGGUGAAAUUCGUAGAUAUUCGGAAGAACACCAGUGGCGAAGGCGGCUCACUGGCCCGGUACUGACGCUUAAGAGCGAAAGCGUGGGGAGCAAACAGG
rnacentral:rRNA from 1 species